UUCUUGGUUUCUCUUUCAGCACAGGAUCUAAUCUAGAUAUUGGAAAAGAGAAUCCAAUGGGUUAUAUGUUUAUCUUCCACCUUCCCCACUUUACGUAUCACAUAAGAACAUUCGAGAUGAUUUCUUAUGCAGAAGAAAAAAUUAACUGAGCAACUAUAUUCAGAAAAAGACAGGUUCUGGCUAUGUGUUUUUACUUCAUAUAUAUAAUCUAUAUGAGUAAGUGCUAUCACAUGCUUCCUCCGCAGCCCUUGUGUCAGAAACACUACAGACAAAAUUAUUUCAGAAACAUUUUACACAUCAGAUCCUGUUAGGCAGUAAAGCAAUCAUUAACUAAUUUAAUUUUGUCCUCCAAGUCAAUACACUAGGAUCAAAUUAUCCCUAGUAGACAAGUGUUCAUUUGAUCAAAUUGAAAGCUUAAUAGCUAUUUUAGAUUGCACAGACUAUUACCAAAGUAUUAAAACUUUUAACAUUACACAACUUCUUUUUAAUUAAUUGGAACCCACCUCUUUUACUAGCUUCUUAUAUCCUCCUAAGUUUGGAUAGAUGUUUACUAUCACAUGUCAUAAGUUAAUUGAUCUGCAUUCAACAAUUAGGAUCACCCACAGAACAGGCAAUUGGCAAUGGUAAGGACUCAUGUCUCCUAAGGGAUCUCUGUGGCCAGAGUCUAGUUCCAGGGCUGCUUAGAAAGUGAUGACAAAUAACAUGUUUGUGCCAAUGACAUCUUUGUGACAGUUUUGAUUAGAGGGGUCCCAGACCUGAAAACAUUCCCUGCUAAGGCCUGUAGCACAAUGCUACCUUUAGUAAGAGGGAUCUGUGUUCUGAUAGAUAAGGCAAGGUCAUAAAGGUGAAGGGCUGACAGAGAUUAGGAGAGCCUGUAAUUAAAUGGUACAAAAAGAGUCCUAAAUAAUCACUGUUCAGAACUUCCAAGUACUUGACUAACCAAAGAGACCCAGAAAACUUUGUAUUUCAUCUGAAAAUUGCUUUAAAUAGUGAAAAAUGCAAUCUUUGUGUAAGUAUCUUUGUAUCUUUGUAUAAGUGCAAAGCACUGCACAUAUAUUUGCAAUUGUUGCCUUCAAUAACACUUUUGUGAUGAUAUCCAGAUGAAAAAUAAUUUAAACAUGAUACAAUAAAAUAUAAAUAAAUUAAAUUAAAUGUAAGUCACAAACCCAUCUGCAUUUCCUCAAUGACCUGUUUCCUGAGAAGCAAUGUGCUAUGAAAUACUGAGACUGGCCUCUGGAGUCAGCUGGGCCUGGGUACACAUCCUGUCUUACCACACCUUGAAAUCACUGUGAUUUCCAUGAACUGACUGACAAAAACCACGAGGAUGUAAGGAGGGUCGGAGGCUGUCUUACUGUCUGUAAGGCUGAGCUCACAUCCACCUCACAGGAGCAUUAUGGAAAUUCAAGACUACAACGCAUGUGCCGGAUGCAUGCAAUGAAAAAAUAUAACACUUCACUUCUCUAACUGUAAGAAAAUACCUACAUUUUAGAUUGAAAUUGUUUGAGCUUUAGAUUUGAAAUUAUCUGAAAUCAAGACUAUUCUAAAAAGAAAAUCAAACACAUGACUGGAAAUCUAACAUGAAGCACAUACAGAGAAUUGAUAGAUGCUUUUAAAUUACACUGGUAGUAGAGAAAAAUGUAACAUAAAUUUUUAUGCUCUGAUUAUAAGAACGAAGGGCAUUUUAGAAAAGGCAUUUGCCCCCUCUCUUAGAGCCUUCCACUCUGGCCCCCACAAUGUCUGACAGAACAAAUCUGGGUCAGACUGGAUGCAACCUGUGAUUCCCAAAAGAGACAAACAAAGCAAGGUUCAGGAUGCUCAGUACUGCGAUGGAAUGCCAAGACACAGAAAAACCAUGUGUCAAGGGGGGAGUUAUUCUUUAGACACAUCCUGAUAUAUGUUUAUCAUUAAAGAUCAGUGGCUUUUGUGAGUCUAAAAAAUUAAGCCUUAAAUGUUUUCAUCAAAUUCCAGUUAACUACCUGAUUUAUCUAGGUUAUAUUAACAGUAUUAUUUAGAAUUUCACCUUGAUAUGAAGAUGUCUGUGUAACUUUUACAAUGAUGUAAAACAAAGAGUAGGAUUAGGGAGGGCACAGACCACUGGCGCAAUGGAUAACGCGUCUGACUACGGAUGAGGGAAUUUAGCCUGGAAUAAGGAACUUUUAUUUCCAGCUUAGUGACGCACACAAAUUUUAAAAAUAAAAUAAAAAUCAUGUUUUAUGUGAUUCAUGUUUCUCCUAAUGCAAAGAAGACGGGUACUAUUACUAAAAAUAUUUUUAAAAUGUAAGGGCUAAGGCCCCAGAAGUUCUGCUAUGAUUUUUUAUGUUUCAUAGAGUGAUUAUCAUCACAGAAGCUCAAGCAUUAUGUAAAUACAAACGCGUAUACCCCGACCUGGUAAUUCUGCUUCUUGAAAUUUAUCUUCAGGUCCACCCACACAUCUACAAAUUGAUGUAUAUUCAAUGUUAUGUACUGCAGCACUGUUUGUAAGAGCAAAAGACUGGAAACAGCCUAAAUUUCCAUCUAUAAAAGACUAAAUAAAUAAAGGUACAUCCCUAAAAUGGAAUAUUAUGUGGCUGUUAAAAAAGAGAGAGAGAGAAAGAGAGGAGAAGCAAGAAAAAGAGAAAACUUUCUACAUUCAAACUAAUAGUAGAAAACUCUCCAAGACACAAUUUUAAGGAAAAAAAAAAUCAAAGUCGAGAAGACAAUAGAGGAGGCUGCCUUUAGUGUAAGACAGUUGAAAAUUAUAAAUAUAUUCAUAUGUUUAUAAAGAAAUUUUAGGAGGCUAUAAAAAAACAAAACAAAGGGAAAGAGGAACAGGAACUGGGACACAGGUGAGUAAGAUGCAUGGCAGGUAUAUGUCUUCAACUUCCUAUGCUUUUAUUUAAAAAUGUUGGACCACGUGUACAUGUUAUCUAUUUUAAAAAUUAGAUUUUAAAAUACAAGCAAGAAAACAAGAAAAUGAAAGCAUAAAAAGAGCAUGUGGAACUACCAGAAAAAUAUACUAAUCCAUGGAGAUAAUGACAAGGUAGCUCCUAGAUGCACUGAUUUCUCUACCACAUUGUAUAAACAAGCCAUCAACUAUGGGAUUUGUAAUUAAAAAUGAGUCUAUUUGAAACACCACACUAUAAAAAGCUAUUAAGUAAAUCUUUAAAGUGACAGUAAAUGAUGACUUAACAUUUUAAAGAGAUACAGUCACAUCGCAUGUGUGAAUGCAGUCAUCUGUAUAAAAUGUCAUCAUUACCUUGAUCAUUUCUUCUUCUGCUGUUUUACUUUUUGCUUCUAUGUCCCCUGCUUCAUUGUAUCUAAUAAAGCAUCUAUUUGAGGCCAACAAAGCCAUUUUCCCCUAAGUGAAACAAAAUAACAAAAUAGCCAUGAGGAUACUUCUUGUAGAAGAAACAUUAAGUGUUUAGACUGAAUGAAUUUUUCCUCCCUGAUUUAAAAAUCACAGAAAAGAACUUAGAGAAAAACCUGAAAAAUAUAAUACAAGAACAUAUAGAAAAGGAAACCAAAAUCACCUUUCAUUUUGCUAUUCAAAGAUUGCCACAAUAAAUAUUUGUAGUGUAUCUUCCUAGUAGGACUAAAUUCUAAUUAGAUGAGGUAGGAUUACUUCCUUUCUAAAAGAUCUACUGAAGAUAAAACUGAUUUAGUUCUGUUUGAAAAAUUAGCUUUAAAGACAAGAACAUAAUUAUGAAUGCAUACUUUAUUCAAAUAUUAGCAUUUUAAGUAAAAUUUAUUUUCUUCACAAUUAGAAAACAUGAAAAGGCAUAUACAAUGCCUUUGGUGUUUUGAAUUUAAGAAUCAAUGUCUGAGGGACUUUUGUGUGUGAAAAUAAAUAUUCAUAUACAUUUUUAGUUGUUUAAUGUUUGAUGUAUUACACUGCUUUCUAUUAAACAAAACUUUAAAAACUGAUUUUCUUGUGUAUCUAAAUCUGGGUUAUAAAUUUGGUUAGCUUAACUCCUGUAACAAAUAUAAUGUUUAUUUAUAACUUGUAUUUGGUUGAUUCUUUUGGAAAACUAGGAAUACAAUAACAUUUAGAUAAAAUAUUUAUAAAUACAAUGAUUACAAUAUAUGUUAACCUUAUAUCACAUCCAGUUAAAAACGUGCUGAUAACAUGGAUUUAAUUUCUUAGUCAAGUCACAAGGGCUGGGUGGUCUCUCAUCUUGAUGGCUCCCGGUGAGCCCUGGAACAUGGCGGUGUGGUCCAAGGCAAUUUAAACCUGUGCCACAGAUUAUUCAGCUGAGUCCUUUUUGCAAUAGAGUUUUAAGACCCUCUUUCAUUUAAAUUUAAAUUUUUGAAACUUAGUGUCCUUCCUAAAAAUAAAAUGAAAUGAAGUUUCCUAAAGUGUUGUAUUAUUAGUACUAUCUAAGUCAUCAUCCUGGUCUUAUGAAAUAUUGGCAUUUUCUACUGGUGUAACUUUUAUUAGAAGCAUCUCAUCAUAACUAGUAGGAUCAUCUCAAAGGGGUUGCAACACACGGAUAAGUAAGUAUUGUUAAGUACAACUCUUGCUUCAGUUAUACAUAUGUGUGUGCUGGGCUGCAAUGUAAAAAUGCAUUUCUCAAUGGAUUGGGUCAAAACAUUUUUCAAGUCACUGACUUAAGAUUUUAUCCUAGGGGAUGAGGAAAUUAGUCUAAGUGAUUACCUCUUUCUGGUGGGAUGUUUGUUUAAUCUGUCAUC
rnacentral:lncRNA from 1 species